GUGAAAAUAAUUUAAACUAAAAUAUUUGCCUUGCACGCAAAAAAUUUAGGCCACAAACCUAAUUUUUACA
rnacentral:tRNA from 1 species